AGCAAUUCGGCAUGUCUGCUUUGGCCUUCACCGAUUUUUAUUGAUGCGCUGUAGAUCGGGAUGCUUGGUAUGGAAGUCGCAGGGAGUUGUGGUCACAGUUCAGCACCUCACCAAACCAGCCUCCCCUCCACUGACUCUGUCUACACUUCCCACUGCCUCUGCAAAGAGUCAAGAUUCAAGAUUCAAGUUCACCUAUCAUGUAUACGCUGAGACAUACAGUGAAAUGUGUUGUUUGCGUUAUCAAAGCAUACAUGAAGGGACAGCUUGCAAACUGUCACCAUACAUUCCGGCAGCAACGUGGCAUGUCAAUAAAGCAGUCAGCAUUAUCAAAGUCCUCUCCCAUCUCUGACUUUCUCUAUUCUCCCCACUCCCAUCAGGAAUUAGGUACAAAGCCUGAAAACAUUUACCAUCAGGCUCAACGACAGCUUCUAUCCCACUGCUUUACUGGUUCCCUAGUAUGAGAAGAUGGACUCCUGACCUCACAAUCUCCCUUGUUAUGAACUUGCGCCUUAUUGUUUACUGCACUGCACCCUCUCUGUAACUGUAACACUACAUUCUGCAUUCUGCUUUUUGUCACAGUGUGCGCUUGAAGGGCUGGACCCAAAUGCAGAGGAAUGGGAGACUCCCUCUGUCACAAUGGUUGCUGGCACCAGCUCAACCCAGGAGAGGAGGUCGAUAGGCUCAUGACCUGGCCCAGGGGCAGGGGGAAUGGCAGAAUCCCCUUGAAGAGACAGAAACAAGAGGAUGGGCAUAGGAAUGUCAACAGAGGGACAACUGAGCAACACCGUGACACAGAUUAUUGUCUUUAUCGUAGUAGGACUCUGCUAAAGAGCUAACUUCAAAUAAUCAUAAAAUACAGGAAACACGUGCCAGUCGUUAAGGUAAUAGUACAAGUGUUCAAGAAACUGAGAGGAUCAGUGUUCUAGGGCAAGCUGCAGGGCUCAGGAUACCAUUUUUUAAUUAAUUGAAAUUUAUGCGUCAAGAUUUUCACUGUACCUCAGAAUGUGUGACAAUAAUAAUUCAAUUUACCAAUUUAUCAUCAAUUUUACUUUUCUUUUUUUUGCAUGCAAUUCUGGUCUCUACAUAUGUAGAGACUUGAGUGGACUUACAAGAGGUUUCAUGGACAAGGUGAAGGUGGAGAAACUGGAGGAGAUUUGGCAACACAGGAGACUGCAGAUUCUGGAAUCUGGAGCAACGGACAAUCUUCUAGAAGAACUCAUUGGGUUGAGCAGCAUCUGUGGGAAAGAUGGGAAGAAGGAACUGUUGGAUAUUUCGGAUCAUCUCUCUACAUCAGGACUCCUUGAGAGGAGAUAUGCUUUGUCUGACUUUAUUCUUUUUGGGGUAUGGGUAGCACUGGCAAGGCCAUCACUUUUUGAUCAACCCCAAUUGAUGGACAGCUUAAUGGUUAAUAAUAUUUAGGUCAGGACACAAAUUAUGUCAGUUCCCACCAGCUGAUUAUCGGUCCAUUGACUAGGAGAGUGGCACAGAAAAGGAGACGCUAGUGCCCAGGAGUAGAAGAUUCACAGAAAGUGAUGGAUACAGCCCAAUCUAUCAUAGGCAGAACCCUCCCAACGUUGAGCACAUUUAGAUGGAGCACUGACACAAGAAAGCAGCAUCCAUCAUCAAGGAUGUCCACCUUCCAGGCCAUGCUCUCUUCGUGCUACUACAAUCAGAUGGAAACCUAAGGUUCCACACCACCAGGUUCUGGGACAACCAUCAGACUCCUGAACCAGAACCCUGACCUGGAGUUCCACGCUGACUUUGGUUCUUUGCGAGAUUGGUCCCACUCUCGGGGUUUCAUGACUGGCCGUUGCUCGAUAUGCCAAGGAUGCAGCCUAAGAGAGAUGCCAAUUUAAAGUAGGGAGGAGAACAGGCUUCUGCAGCAAGCGAUGGAGACCUUCAAGGGUGUUGAUAACAGAGAAGAUCAGUGAUAGACACCAGUUGAGCUCUGGAGGAAAAGAAAGCCAGGAUCUGGAGCUGGGGCAAGGGAAUAGGAGCGACAGGAUUUCUCCACUGGAGACUUCAAUGAUCACAGUGGAUCAAAAGGCUUCUGUUGGUGUGGUUAAGACUCCAUAAAUAAUUACCAAUCAAUUCAGAAACAAUGACCAGAAAACUCCCGAUUACUUUCUUAAAACCUGCAUCAUCCGCUUUUACCCUUCAUAGAGAAACUUGUCUUUCACCAAUCUGACUUUAUGAGCAAUACUGAGCCCACAAUUUUCCAUUUAUUCAAAGUUCAAAGAAAAUGUAUUAUUAAAAUACAUAAAUGUCACCAUACACAACACACAGAUUUGUUUCCUUGCAGGCAUUCACAGGAAAUAAAAAGAAACACAAUGUUUGUCUGCAGUUUUGGCAGUGUUGAAUGGCUCAAGUCUGGACUGUUACUGUGUGCUGUACCUUUCUAUCUUAUACAUGCUAUGUGUGCUUUGUGCUGUGUGUGACUGUUGGUACUGUGUUUUGCCCCUUGGCCCAGGAGUAACGCAGUUACAUUUGGCUGUGCUCAUGAGUAUUCACGUAUGUGUGGUCAAAGGGCAAUUAACUUAAAUUAAGUUUAAUUAAAAAUUACCAGAGCCCCAGAUGAAGUAUAUAGGGUAUGAGAUUAUGUAGGUACUUGAAAUCAAGAGCAACUGACACAAAAUGCUGGAGGAUCUCAGCAGGUCAGGCAGCAUCUAUGGAGAAGAGUAAAAGUUAGUGUUUUGGGACAAGGCGUUCAUGAGUCCUGAUAAAGGGCCUCGGCCUGAAAUGGCAACUGUUUACUCUUUUCCAGAAAUGUUGCCUGACCUGCUGAGUUCCUCCAGCAUUUAUGUGUAUUAUUAAUUUGCCGUUUAUUUAUUAUUAUUAUUUAGUUUAUUGUAUCUGCACAGUUUGUCU